rnacentral:lncRNA from 1 species
CAUAAUCAGUCGCUAACCGUGUUUGAGGAUAGUCUUUGAUAAGGAUUUAUUAGUUCCUGUCGAAAAUUUGAGUCGCUGCCGUCUUAAAAAAAAGUUUUACUUUUUGUCUAAACAUGAAGUGGAUCAUAAUAACAGUUUUAAUUGUGAUAUCGUCAGUGGUGUCGCAAGCUCGUCAUAUUAAUCCUCACGGGAAACACACUGCGCCUAUGGAAAAGCAUGAUUCAACUGUUUCAAAUGAAGAUGAUUAUGCAGACAUUGUAGAAAUUCGAGCGAUGAAGCCAGUGAGAUUCGUCCCCAUCAACAACGCAAUGUACUUCAAAAACUACGAGCCCUGCGAGGAGGGCUACGCUCGGGAUCGAUUAGGUGUCUGCAGGGAAAUCUGGAAUUAGAAGCUAGUUUACUAAAAUAUCAUUUUAUUUUUAAAUUGACAGGCUUCCAGUCUCAUAUUUUUUUAUAGAAAUCUUGGUAUAGCUUUAAAAAGUACCUAUAAAACAAUGACUUAGUGUUUACCGUUAGGAAAGUGCAACUUUACAGUUUCAAAAGUUUGAUGAUUUUGAUCAACUGUUUUGUUGCCCUAGUCCCGGUCAACCGGACUAAUGACCAGAUCCAAACCUGAUCAACAUAAUUAAAUAGUAAAAAAGGACGAUCGAAAGCGCCUUAAAAAUGGCCAAGUAAUCUCGUAACAAUUUAAAAAAUGUACAGUUUUUCCAUACGAGAACCUCAUUCAUUUUGAAGUCGGUUGAUAAUAACAUCACAUGUUUCAUGUUUACAUUUUCUAUAUUUUUUUAAACGGUUUUAUUUAGCUCAC